rnacentral:rRNA from 1 species
UACGGAAGGGGCAAGCGUUGUUCGGAAUCAUUGGGCGUAAAGGGCGCGUAGGUGGUUCUGUAUGUCUACCGUGAAAGCAUACAGCUCAACUGUAUUUUGUCGGUAGAAACUGCAGGACUUGAGGCUGGGAGGGGCUGGUGGAAUUCCCUGUGUAGCGGUGAAAUGCGUAGAGAUGGGGGAGAACACUCGUGGCGAAGGCGGCCAGCUAGACCAGUUCUGGCACUGAGGCGCGACAGCGUGGGGAGCGAACAGG